CUCGUUCAUCCCGCAAGGGACGGAAGUAGGCUAAGGCUGAAGGAACGUACC
rnacentral:ncRNA from 10 species